rnacentral:rRNA from 1 species
UACGUAGGCAGCAAGCGUUGUUCGGAGUUACUGGGCGUAAAGGGUGUGUAGGCGGUUGGAUAAGUGUGGUGUGAAAUCUCCCGGCUUAACUGGGAGGGUGCGCUACAAACUGUCUGACUAGAGUGUGGGAUGGGAAAGUGGAAUUCCUGGUGUAGCGGUGAAAUGCGUAGAUAUCAGGAGGAACACCGGUGGUGUAGACGGCUUUCUGGACCAUAAACUGACGCUGAAAACACGAAAAGCGUGGGGUAGCAAAACAGGG